CUCCUCUGGGUUGAAACCCGGGCGCCGCCAAGAUGCUGGCUUACCACUCUUCUCUCAUGGAUCCUGACAUCAAACUCAUCGGAAACAAGGCACUGUUGCCUAUCAGAAGUCAAUUCAAACGACCUGCCCCCAGAGAGACAAAAGAUACAGAUAUUGUGGAUGAAGCAUCUAUUACUUCAAGGCCAAUAUCUUCUUCAAAAACUAUGAAAUUAAGAAUGAAGCUGAUAGGACCUUGAUAAUAUAUAAUGAUAUAUAUAACUCUCUACAUUUCUGAAUGUCUGAAGAAACUCCAAAAGUGCAAUUCCAAAAGCCAAGAUGAAGUGAUGAGAGCCUAUUUACAACAGCUAAGGCAAGAGACUGGACUGAGACUUUGUGAGAAAGUUUUCGACCCUCAGAAUGAUAAACCCAGCAAGUGGUGGACUUGCUUUGUGAAGAGACAGUUCAUGAAUAAGAGUCUUUCAGGACCUGGGCAGUGAAGGGAGCCCGGGCAGCCACCGUCUCCAGAGCCCUGGGCAGCAUUUUCCAUCAAGAUGUACACAAUCUUUUGCCUUUAUUUCGUAAAGUUUUAUACAGAAGAGAGAAGAGCAUGUCUUUACUUGAAAAACUCUUGAUCAAGAAUUUGGGUGGGAGAAAAGAAAGUGGGUUAUCAAGGGUAAUUUGAAAUUUUCUGCAGCAUUAAGCUGGCGCUUAAUAAGUAAUAAUAAAGAAAUUUCUAACAUUC
rnacentral:lncRNA from 1 species